CCUACGGGAGGUAGCAGUGAGGAAUAUUGGUCAAUGGGCGCGAGCCUGAACCAGCCAAGUAGCGUGAGGGAUGACUGCCCUACGGGUUGUAAACUUCUUUUAUCAAGGAAUAAAGAGAGGCACGCGUCCCUUUUCGUGUGUACUUUAUGAAUAAGCAUCGGCUAACUCCGUGCCAGCAGCCGCGGUAAUACGGAGGAUCCGAGCGUUAUCCGGAUUUAUUGGGUUUAAAGGGAGCGUAGAGGGGUGGUCAAGUCAGUGGUGAAAGUUUGGGGCUCAACCGUAAAAUUGCAAUUGAGACUGGCAGUCUUGAGUAGAGUUGAGGUAGGCGGAAUGCGUGGUGUAGCGGUGAAAUGCUUAGAUAUCACGAAGAACUCCGAUUGCGAAGGCAGCGUACUAAACUGCCACUGACAUUGAUGCUCGAAAGUGUGGGUAUCAAACAGGAUUAGAUACCCUUGUAGUC
rnacentral:rRNA from 1 species